AGAAUAUUCCGCAAUGCACGAAAGUGUGACGGAGCGACGCCGCGUGGACGAUGAAGGCCGGAAGGUUGUAAAGUCCUUUUUAAUAUGAGGAAUAAGCAGUGUGAGAGAAACGCACUGUGGUGACUGUAGUAUUAGAAUAAGGGGCGGCUAAUUACGUGCCAGCAGCCGCGGUAACACGUAAGCCCCGAGCGUUGUUCGGAAUUAUUGGGCGUAAAGGGCAUGUAGGCGGUUUUGCAAGUCUGGUGUGAAAGGCAGGAGCUCAACUCCUGGACUGCGCUGGAAACUGCAUGACUUGAGUUUCUGAGGGGCACUCGGAAUUCCUGGUGUAGGGGUGAAAUCUGUAGAUAUCAGGAAGAACACCGGUGGCGAAGGCGGGGUGCCAGCAGAAGACUGACGCUGAGGUGCGAAGGUGCGGGGAGCAAACA
rnacentral:rRNA from 1 species